rnacentral:misc_RNA from 1 species
GAAAUGGCACUGCCUUUCUCCUGUUUAUCUUUUUAGAAUCGGCGCAAGCCGACAAUACUCUGUAUUAAGUUGUCUGAGUCAGUUAAAAUUAUCA